UGAGCAAAGUGUGUCAAAAGCUUAGAUAGACCACAAGCCAGACCUCUUGCCCCAGUUAGCCAAGUUGUGAAUGCAAAGAAAAAGUUCUUGAAGGAAGUAAACAGUGCUACUCCAGUGAGCCCAUCAUGAAUUAGAAGUGAAACA